rnacentral:rRNA from 1 species
UACGGAGGGUGCAAGCGUUGAUCGGAAUUACUGGGCGUAAAGAGCGUGUAGGCGGUAUGGUAAGUCAGAUGUGAAAGCCCAGGGCUCAACCCUGGAAGUGCAUUUGAUACUGCCAUUCUUGAGUAUGGGAGAGGAAAGGGGAAUUUCGCAUGUAGGGGUAAAAUCCGUAGAGAUGCGAAGGAACACCAGAGGCGAAGGCGCCUUUCUGGACGAGUAUUGACGCUGAGGCGCGAAAGCGUGGGGAGCAAACAGG